rnacentral:pre_miRNA from 1 species
AGGAGGAACAACCCCAGUGGCUGCGGCAGCUCUGGAGCCCUGGAUUCAGCUCCUGCAGUAACUACAGAGCUCUCUGCAGGAGCCUGGAGGCUCCGGGGGCGU